GCCUCGUAGUUCAGCUGGUAGAGCGUGCGAUAUACAAAAGGCAUGGGUGGCGUCCAUGCGUGGGUUCGAAUCCCACCGAAGGCU
rnacentral:tRNA from 1 species